rnacentral:lncRNA from 7 species
AACAAACUACCUCAAAUUUAUUCAUAAUUAUCCAUGGCAUGAUGAAGAAACCUGCCCAAAUUGAAAUUACAGCCCACGAAACAGAAUUGUUCUAGCGAUGUCCUCCAUCUCACUUAUUCCAAAGCCAAUUAACCACCUAAAGAUGCAAGAAAGAAGAGAAAACAUACAAAUCCAUGGGGUUCCCCUUCAUUCUUCCUUGUUUGGUGAUACAAUUGCAGUACCACUUUCCGAAUCU